GCUCAAAGUCCACAGGUGUCUACUGGUCCAUGCUUCCCAAGUGUUUUUGUUCUGCCUAAGUUUCCAAAGAACAUUCAGACUAGAUUGGAUAAUAAAGAACCAUGCAAAACCGGACUAUUCCGAAGCAAAAUCGUUGGGGUGCUUCAAGAAUCCAUGGCACAGUAUACAAUGUAUCCCUCAAAUGACGAGUAUGUCAGAGUUUCAAAGGCGCUGGUGACUAAAUAUCCUUUUUUAAAGGAUCUUGAGGGGAAUGGCUAUCACACAUGGCACAUGUCCUUAAAGCGCAAGUUCAAGACGGAGCGUGCACCCC